rnacentral:lncRNA from 1 species
UUUUUACUUAGGUCAGGAUCCGGUCCAAAUCCAUUAGGUUCAAAAAAAUGAGAUUCAUGUCCAGAUCCAUUAGAUUCACAUGGUCUCGAGUCCUGACCCGGAUCCAUUCUUUUGUACUUUAAAUUGAAUAGUUGACUAUUUCUAUUAUGUUUCUUAACACUUGAAUAUUUUGUUAUGUUAUGACAAUAUGAAUAAUAUUUUAGAAUUUUAAUAUUUUAUUGAUUUUGUGUUUUGGUGAUUGAUGUAUUGAUAAUAUAGUAGAAUAAAAGUGUAUAACAGGACGUCGAUAACUGGGUAGAGCAAAUUAUAAUUUUUUUUAUUUUUUUUAAAUUAGCGACGGAAUUGAAGUCCGUCCUUAAUUAAGGAGCGGACAAAUAACGACGGAAUAGUAGUCCGUCGCUAAAGUUGACCAGUCGAAUAGCGACGGAAUUUCAGUCCGUCGCUACUUAGCGACGAAAAAUUUCGUCGCUGUUUCCGUCGCUAUUUCCGACGAC